ensembl:lncRNA
UGCCAAUGGAAGCUUUUCUUUCCCAGGUGCCCUUGCGGCCCCAUCCCUGUCCCUGAACCCCCAGAAGCAGGAGUACUUCCCCGGAGACACUGUUGAAAUCAAGUGCUCUGCUCCUCCUUCGGUGGAUAGAGUUGAAGGAUUCCAGUACUACAGCAAUAUCGGAAGGGCCAUCUCAGUCCCAGCUUCAUCCAGGAGAAGCCAUACUUACAACAUAAACCUCACAGGGCCUAAGGAUGGGGGGUCGUACCAGUGCGACUACUGGAUAGGUCAAGCCGGUUCUUGGAACAGGUCCAGCAGGAGUGACGCUGUCCUCAUCAGAGUAAAAGACUUCCCUCCCUGGCCGGCGUUGAGUGUGGAUCCUCCGUCCGGAGUGGUGAGCGAAGGGCUCCCCCUGCUCAUCAUCUGCACGGCCCCCAGCAAUGCUAGUGAGCGAAGGUUUCACUUCUACAAGGAAGGAGCUGAGCUCAUCCCUGGGGACGUGGGGUCUGAGGUCAGCACCACAGAGACCAGGACCGGAUCUAUGAUGCUCAGCAUCCCGCGAGCUGGUCCCUACAGCGCCGGGGAAUUCACCUGUGCGUACGAGGAGAACAUGAGCGGGAGGUGGAUUCUGUCCCUAAGGAGCUUGGCUGUGAAUGUUACCAUGACAGCACACAGCCAUUCCUGGGUCCGGGAGCUCGCUGUGGGUGGGUCCUUCUUCACCAUUAAUAGCCUCAUCUUCCUCAUCUCCCACCUCUGCACGAAGGGCAAAGGUAAUCGCACAUUUCCCUCCCCUCUCCCUGCUUUCGCAGGACCUUGGAGGAGCUUAAACAGAUGAACCCUGAAAUUUCUCCUCCUGAGUCUCACCUGGCCAAGAGGCUGCUGCUGUAGACAACACUGAGAAGAUACCUGUCACCAGCUACACCGUUAUAUCUCCUCUUCUGACCCCUCGGCUCCACCUGCUGAAAUGCAGCCACCUCUGCGGAGGGGCACCUGGGUAACCGCCACCCCUGUAACACUGCCUAGGAAUCCCCAAGGCUGAACGGCAGCUGCUUCUUGGGUGGGGCGUGGCAGCUGGCGGGCAGCUGCAGUGUAAUGCCACAGAGGGAUCGCUCCUCCAGAUGCAGCCAUCUCUGGGGCGGCCUGCGGCAGCUGUUUAGCAGCUGAAUGCAGAUGGGAGAGCACUGCAGGCCAGAAAGAAAUGUGAAUACAGAUUCCCAGGGAAGCUGUAGCAGCUCCUCAUCUCAUCCACAGCUCCAGUGUGAUCACUGAGGGGACAGCACCCCUUAAAGGGUCAUGCAUCCCUCUAGCUGCUACACAGCGCCCCUAGUGCUAUACAGGGGCAUUGGCGAUAGCAUUUAUUGCGAAGGGAGAGAGCCCCACACUGAGCCCCUUUCCUGCUCCCUGCAACACAGCGCCCCUAGUGCUAUAGAGGGGCAUUGGGGUCAGCACUAAUUGUGAGGGCAGAGCGCCCCCUACUGAGCUCCCUUCCCUGCACCCUGCAGAACAGCGCCCACUACUGAAACCCCACAGUCACCCCCCUACUGGCUUCAUCACUUUGCUUGCUCCAAAAAGAUACCCCCUCAAAAUGUGCCCCAAGCCCCUUUCUUUCUUUGUGAUCUGAGCAUUGCCAUGUGCUUUUCUCAUUCUCAGGUUCCAAGGAGGAGCACACAAUCGGCUCAGACCCGUUUCAAUCAGAUUAUUACUCAGUCCCGGUUCAGGUGGUCACUGGUCAGUCUGGUCAUUCUGCGACCGCCAAGGCAAACCACGUCUCCAGCCCCAUGCUCCAGUCCCGUGGGAAUAACGAGUACCAGGAAGAGAUGUGAAGGCUCAGAUAC